UGGGGUGUAGCCCAGUAAUAGAGCAUUUGCCUAGCAUGUGUGAGGCCCUGGGUUUGAUCCCAGCACCACAA
rfam:Heterocephalus glaber contig227758, whole genome shotgun sequence.